ensembl:lncRNA
GGCUGCUCUUCUCUGCUCUGUAUCUUACAGAAACCUCGCUCCAGCCACAGCUUUGAAGCAGAACUCAAAGCCACAGUGAUGUUGAUGUCCCUGGGGAUGGGCUCAAGGAGAUGUUGCUGCAGGACGGGACCCACGCUGCUCAUGGCACUGAGCACAGUGCUGGCACCCUGCAUCCUCUGCCUGCUGUUUCCUUCUCAGCACCAGGAACUUAAAGCUAGGAGGAAAAACAUGCUGGAAAGCUGUUUAUUCUGAGAACAGGCUGAGAUCCAGCAGCUGCCUCCCUGCAUGCAGGAGGUCAUCUCUCAGAGGGACCGAGCACCUUCCACACCUUCACCCCACCCUGGUGAGGAGCAGACUGGGCCCCAGUGUUCUGCGAGAUGCUCUGUGCUUGGUGGACUGGGACGGGCAUCUUCAGUGAGAGCAGCCAGCUUCUGUCACUUGUGUCAGGAAGCUGGGCCAGAGCACGGUGAGUCGGUGAUUGCUCUGCUAACACCUCGUGCCUGAUAGUAGGAUGCCAUCAGAUGCAUUAGGGAAGCUGUAAGGAUCACCCCAACCUCUGUGCAACAAGGCAGGCUGAGCUGCACGCCGCAGGCAGGCAGGCACUUGAAAACUCCAGCAGAUGCUGAAGGGAAGAGCCCUGUUUGGGAAAAUCAGUGAUAAAUCAGAACUUGGAGUCUGGAUACUGGUACAGCUCUGGCUUCUCCAUCAGCACCUGUGGCUGACUGUCACACAGACCACACAGCUUUGGGCAAACUCAAUGCCCCUUCUGAUGAAGGCUGAGCUAUGGGACAGCCCACUGUGGAAGACCAUGGAUGAGAUGAGCAGGUGGUGCUGUUUGCUGAGCACAGGGAAUAGCUUUCUUGAUUUAGCUUUUCUGCAGUGAACAAUGCAGCACCUGCUCACAGGUGAGAAGCCCUUGGUUCUGCAGAACAGUUAUGAGAUGCUCUCAUAUGAAGAGCAUCCCUCGCCACCAGAGGCAGGCCGGGUCUAUGUCACUGUGAUGGGAAGGCUGCUGCAGCUCUGUCCUGGCUGUCUUUCAAAGGCAUCACUGACACAAAAGGGAACAAAGCAUACUUUUUUUAAGCUGACUGUGAAUAGAGGAGGCUGAAGAGUUCAAAGCACUGGAGAUGAAGGAUGGUGUCUCAGUGAAGGGCCAAAACUAUCUUCAACUUCAAGCUUAAUCUUCUAUUAGGCAAAGAAAAUACAGCACAAAUUAUGCUUAUGUAGCACCUCUCAUGCAAACAUCCCAGCACGCUUAACAAUCAAAUUCAAACACAAUCAAUCAUGGAGAUGUGAGCAGCGUUUACCAAGGAAAACAGAGCAAGCAAGGCUUGGAAAGAAUGAGUGGCACAGCCACUGAAAGCACAUGGCUUCCGAAUGGUUUGCAUUUGUGUGCGCACAAAGUGGUGUGGGGAUGGUGGCAGGUACCAAAGCAGGCAGAUGGUGGUGGAUAUGCUGAUAGCAUUGUGUUGUAGGUAUUGCACUGAGACAGGAGGGCAAGCUGGGAAGAGAGGUCUCCCACGUCCAAAUGAAUGAUCACUAGUGGGGUAACUCAGGCCCAUCAGUGUGCUCUGAGGGGCAGUUGCUGCCCUCAUCUCCUCCAGACUCCAAGUGAGGAGGACCUGCAGAUCCUCCCCACGUGCUGCUGCAUCCACGGUGAAGAGACUCAGCCACGUGCACAGGUGAAUUGCUGUGAGCACCAGUGUGACCUCUGGCCCGGAUGCCUGGGGAGUGCUCCUUGGAGCACAUCACCCCUGAAUCACAUUAGCCAGAUCAACCUUACCUGUAAUUUUUUGUUUGUUUUUUAUUUUGAGGCAUAACUUUUCUUUCCUUCUUCUCGAG